CAAAACAAUCGUUGCGUCACUACUUGUUCAAAGAUGGCUGUUCGAUAGUGAUUGGAGUGGUGCUCUUGUUCUUAACACUUUUGGUUCUGUGAUUUUUAAUGUUUACUCAAAUUAAUGCAUAAAAAUAAUGUUAUCAGCUAUAGUAUCACGUUUAAUAAUACUGCUGUUUGGAACACUCUACCCCGCCUACGCAUCCUACAAAGCUGUUAGAACGAAAAAUGUCAAAGAAUAUGUGAAAUGGAUGAUGUACUGGAUCGUAUUUGCACUUUUUACAUGUGCAGAGACUUUUACAGAUGUAUUCCUAAGUUUCUGGUUCCCGUUCUACUAUGAAAUCAAGGUGGUGUUGGUAUUUUGGUUGCUGUCUCCAGCAACCAAGGGCUCCAGUAUACUCUACCGCAAUUUCGUACAUCCAGCGCUCAUCAAGAGAGAGCAGGAGAUCGAUGAGUAUAUCAGCAAAGCCAAGGAACAGGGAUAUCACACCAUGCUACAUCUGGGGUCCAAGGGUGUGACCUACGCUACGAGUAUGAUCAUGCAGACUGCCAUAAAGGGAGGUGGUGGCAUAGUGAACCACUUGCGGCGUAGCUACAGCCUUAGUGACGUCACAGGUGAACCUGAGCUCAAGUCUGAUAUGAAUCGUAACAGUAAACUGCAAGGUGACACUGUCGACUCAGCCGAUGUUCCUAGAGAUCCUCGAAUGAGGGCUCAACGCAUGCCCCCCGGAGGCAGCCACGUAGAUCUUUACUUCCCAGAAAUGGAUGUUGACAUUCGCUCACAUCCACAUUCCCAUGAGCUCCCAGUGAAAUUGAGCCAGAUCAGAUCUACCGAGGACAUCAGUUCCGGCUACUCCAGCGCUGAACCACUAUAUGGAGAUAGUCAAGUGGUGGGGGAAGGUGGGAAUCCGCUCACUCGAACUGCCUCUGUCGGGGCCACCAGACCCCGCCCUCGUCCCACCCGCACCACUCAAACUAAGAAGGCUUUAGCUGAGGUGACACGGGGAGUGCUACAAAUGCAGUAAGGACAAUAAUUUCAAUAUCUCCUGCCCUGUACUUGAAAGUGUCAUAUACAAGUAUUUAUCCCACCCAUCUAUGCAACACUACCGAAAAGCAAGAGGGUGGCCCGCAAAAAGACGCAAUGAAGACUGGAUAGUUCGAACAAACUUAAAGUACUUAUUUAAGAGCAAAUUUUAUUUCUUUUGUAUAGUGUUUUUGGCGUAUUCACAGUUUGAAACUGUUUUAGUAGCGUAAAUAUUAAGAAUUUAUUUUAGAGCACAUGAUAAUUUUGUUUUUUCUAGAGAGGCACGUGACGAUGCCGUAAACUGAUGUAAGGCAUUAAUUAUAGUACUAACUACUGAUGCUUUAACAUUGUAAGCCAAAUAUUUCCCCAUGAUAUUCUAUGAUAUUGUGAUAUAAUGUUUAUACAUUUUAUGCAUUUUACAAUGCCACAUCAAAAUGUUUGUUUUGUGUUCAAUUUUAUACUUUGAUAAUUAUAACUCGUUUUAUCGUUUUCGUUAGUCCUAUUUAGUUUAGUUCGUUAACACUAGAUUGAUAAUUUUGUUUUUUUUUUAUCUUUUUACCCAAGUAUACGCACAAAUUGCGAAUCUGUUUCAAAGGUUUUUAAAUAAUAGAAGAAGACAUGGUUUGUUAAUUAAUUUAUAUCUAGUUAUGGAUGUUACAAUCGAUGAUACAGAGAUUAUAACUUGUUAUGAAUAACCUUUAUUUAGAAAAAACAUUAUUGCAUUAUUGACAAGAAUUAUAAUUCCCACGGUACAUGUUUAUGGAAUCUGCUUGCAACUCAUAGUAAUUUAUCAAUGAACAAGAGUUAAUUGUUUGUUAUAUUUAACGUUAUUCUAGUCCCAUAAUUGUGCCUUUAGCUUCCUGUGUUAAUUAAUUUAUGAAUGAUACGCUAUUAAUGUUAUUGAAUAUGUGUCCAGGUAAAAUUGAAUAUAAAUCAAUUAUUUAUUGACCUGUUCAACCCAAUAUGUUGUUAAAUAAUGUACCUAAAAAAUGUACAGGUUUAUUAGAAUUGUUAAUGCUGGAUGAGUUACUUAAUUGGUAAGGGAGUCAGUAUUAGAUGCAAGUGGGUGCUAUUUGUUAAUCAAAUACCUAAAGAUUGUGAGAUGGUUUUAUUUGAAUUGUACCUUUGAAUCCGAUACUUGAGGCCUAAUUGAAUUUUUCUCUUAGUAUUUUUGUUUGGAGAUUGCAUUUUACAUUUUUUUGUUGGAGUGUAAUUUAAUUUUGUUUGUUAGUAGUAACCGAGAUGAUCUCUGAUAGUUGAUUAUAGACACAACUGGUUAGAGAUGUCAAUAAACGUUUUUUUUAUAAUUGUC
rnacentral:misc_RNA from 1 species